AUUUUCGGUAUGGUAAAGCCUUGGCCAUUUUUGGACCGUUUUUGGCGCAAACGUUGUGCACCCCGAACGAGCCCCACCCGACCCCUAGGCCCUGGGCUUUUUUUCUGUGUCAUACUGGGUGCAAUAUAGAUGGGUUCCACACCUAUCCGCGGCUAUCAUCGGCCUAAAUAGGUUGCACAAGAUCAAAGAAACAAAACUAGUCCAUGGGAAGAAAAGCAUUGGGACGAAAAUAAAAACUGAGUCCAGGCAUCUUCGAGCGGUUCUUGUGGGAAAAAACCUUGAUAUUACUUAGAGUGAGGCCUCCUAGUAGUUAUCUGGGAAUUUUCGGGACGUUUCUCACAUGGUUAAAAAUCGGCAGAUUUUCGGUAUGGUAAAGCCUUGGCCAUUUUUGGACCGUUUUUGGCGCAACCGUUGUGCACCCCGAACGAGCCCCACCCGACCCCUAGGCCCUGGGCUUUUUUUCUGUGUCAUACUGGGUGCAAUAUAGAUGGGUUUCCACACCUAUCCGCGGGCUAUCAUCGGCCUAAAUAGGUUGCACAAGAUCAAAGAAGCACAACUAGUCCAUGGGAAGAAAAGCAUUGGGACGAAAAUAAAAACUGAGUCCGGGCAUCUUCGAGCGGUUCUUGUGGCAAAAAAACCUUGAUAUUACUCAGAGUGAAGCCUCCUAGUAGUUAUCUGUGAAUUUUCGGGACGGUUCUCACAUGGUUAAAAAUCGGCCGAUUUUCGAGUAUAGUAAAGCCUUGGCCAUUUUUGGACCGUUUUUUGCGCAACCGUUGUGCACCCCGAACGAGCCCUAGGCCCUGGGCUUUUUUUAUGUGUCAUACUGGGUGCAAUAUAGAUGGGUUUCCACACCUAUCCGCGGGCUAUCAUCGGCCUAAAUAGGUUGCACAAGAUCGAAGAAGCACAACUAGUCCAUGGGAAGAAAAGCAUUGGGACGAAAAUAAAAACUGAGUCGGGCAUUUUCCGAGCGGUUCUUUGUGGAAAAACCUUGAUAUUACUCAGAGUGAGGCCUCCUAGUAGUUAUCUGUGAAUUUUCGGGACGGUUCUCACAUGGUUAAAAAUCGGCCGAUUUUCGGUAUGGUAAAGCCUUGGCCAUUUUUGGACCGUUUUUUGCGCAACCAUUGUGCACCCAGAACGAGCCCCACCCGACCCCUAGGCCCUGGGCUUUUUUUAUGUGUCAUACUGGGUGCAAUAUAGAUGGGUUUCCACACCUAUCCGCGGGCUAUCAUCGGCCUAAAUAGGUUGCACAAGAUCGAAGAAGCAAAACUAGUCCAUGGGAAGAAAAGCAUUGGGACGAAAAUAAAAACUGAGUCUGGGCAUCUCCGAGCGGUUCUUGUGGGAGAAAACUUGAUAUACUCAGAGUGAGGCCUCCUAGUAGUUAUCUGUGAAUUUUCGGGACGUUUCUCACAUGGUUAAAAAUCGGCCGAUUUUCGGUAUGGUAAAGCCUUGGCCAUUUUUGGACCGUUUUUUGGCGCAACCUUGUGCACCCCGAACGAGCCCCACCCGACCCCUAGGCCUGGGCUUUUUUUAUGUGUCAUACUGGUGCAAUAUAGAUGGGUUUCCACACCUAUCCGCGGGCUAUCAUCGGCCUAAAUAGGUUGCACAAGAUCGAAGAAGCACAACUAGUCCAUGGGAAGAAAAGCAUUGGGACGAAAAUAAAAACUGAGUCCGGGCAUUUUCGAGCGGUUCGUGUGGGAAAAAACCUUGAUAUUACUCAGAGUGAGGCCUCCUAGUAGUUAUAUGUGAAUUUUCGGGACGGUUCUCACAUGGUUAAAAAUCGGCCGAUUUUCGGUAUGGUAAAGCCUUGGCCAUUUUUGGACCGUUUUUUGCGCAACCGUUGUGCACCCCGAACGAGCCCCACCCGACCCCUAGGCCCUGGGCUUUUUUAUGUGUCAUAAUGGGUGCAAUAUAGAUGGGUUUCCACACCUAUCCGCGGGCUAUCAUCGGCCUAAAUAGGUUGCACAAGAUCAAAGAAACAAAACUAGUCCAUGGGAAGAAAAGCAUUGGGACGAAAAUAAAAACUGAGUCUGGGCAUCUCCGAGCGGUUCUUGUGGGAGAAAACUUUAAUAUUACUCAGAGUGAGGCCUCCUAGUAGUUAUCUGUGAAUUUUCGGGACGUUUCUCACAUGGUUAAAAAUCGGCCGAUUUUCGGUAUGGUAAAGCCUUGGCCAUUUUUGACCGUUUUUUUGCGCGAACCGUUGUGCACCCCGAACGAGCCUCACCCGACCCCUAGGCCCUGGGCUUUUUUUAUGUGUCAUACUGGGUGCAAUAUAGAUGGGUUUCCACACCUAUCCGCGGGCUAUCAUCGGCGUUAAAAAUAGGUUGCACAAGAUCAAAGAAACACAACUAGUCCAUGGGAAGAAAAGUAUUGGGACGAAAAUAAAAACUCAGUCUGGGCAUCUCCGAGCGGUUCUUGUGGGAGAAAACUUUAAUAUUGCUCAGAAUGAGGCCUCCUAGUAGUUAUGUGUGAAUUUUCGAGACGUUUCUCACAUGGUUAAAAAUCGGCCGAUUUUCGGUAUGGUAAAGCCUUGGCCAUUUUUGGACCGUUUUUUGGCGCAACCGUUGUGCACCCGAACGAGCCCCACCCGACCCCUAGGCCCUGGGCUUUUUUUCUGGCGUCAUACUGGGUUCAAUAUAGAUGGUUUUCCACACCCAUCCCGCGGCUAUCAUCGCCUAAAUAGGUUGCACAAGAUCAAAGAAACAAAACUAGUCCAUGGGAAGAAAAGCAUUGGGACGAAAAUAAAAACUGAGUCUGGGCAUCUCCGAGCGGUUCUUGUGGGAGAAAACUUUAAUAUUACUCAGAGUGAGGCCUCCUAGUAGUUAUCUGUGAAUUUUCGAGACGUUUCUCACAUGGUUAAAAAUCGGCCGAUUUUCGGUAUGGUAAAGCCUUCGCCAUUUUUGGACCGUUUUCGGCGCAACCAUUGUGCACCACGAACGAGCCCCACCCGACCCCUAGGCCCUGGGCUUUUUUUCUGUGUCAUACAGGGUGCAAUGUAGAUGGGUUUCCACACCUAUCCACCCGCGAUCAUCGGUCUAAAUAGGUUCCACAUGAUCGAAGAAACACAACUAAACCAUUGGAAGAAAAGUAUUGCGACGAAAAUAAAAACAUGAGUCUGGGGCAUCUCCGAGCGGUGUCUAUGGGAAAAAACUCUCAUAUUACUCAAAGGGAGCCCACCUAGUAGUUAUCUGUGAAUUUUUUGGACUUUUUUCGCAUGGUUAAAAAUCGGCCGUUAUGUCGUAGGCUAAAGCAUUGGCCAUUUUUUGACCGUUUUUGGCGCUACCGUUGUG
rnacentral:lncRNA from 1 species